ACGCGUGGAACCUUACCAGGUCUUGACAUCCCGCUGCCCGGUAUAGAGAUAUACUUUUCCCUUCGGGGACAGCGGUGACAGGUGGUGCAUGGUUGUCGUCAGCUCGUGUCGUGAGAUGUUGGGUUAAGUCCCGCAACGAGCGCAACCCUUGUUCUUAGUUGCCAUCAUUUAGUUGGGCACUCUAAGGUGACUGCCGGUGACAAACCGGAGGAAGGUGGGGAUGACGUCAAAUCAUCAUGCCCCUUAUGACCUGGGCUACACACGUGCUACAAUGGAUGGUACAAAGGGCAGCAAAGCGGUGACGCCUAGCAAAUCCCAUAAAACCAUUCUCAGUUCGGAUUGUAGGCUGCAACUCGCCUACAUGAAGCUGGAAUCGCUAGUAAUCGCGGAUCAGCAUGCCGCGGUGAAUACGUUCCCGGGCCUUGCACACACCGCCCGU
rnacentral:rRNA from 1 species